GACUCUCGGCAACGGAUAUCUCGGCUCUU
rnacentral:ncRNA from 10 species